ensembl:lncRNA
GUCUUUGCAUUCGGCAGGAUGUCUUUGUUGGAAUAGGUCCUAACGGUGACUCUUUCAGAUGUACCCUUGAUAAAUUAGGCUUUGCCUGAGACAACUUCGUAUAUUCAGACAACUAGGUCUCAUCCAUGAGAGGUCAACAUUCACUUUGGAAAAAAAAACUUCUGAAACACUGAAAUAAGGACUUCCCUGGUGGUCCAGUGGUAAGGAAUCUGUCUUCCAACGCGGGGAACACCACUUCCAUCCCUGGUCGGGGAACUAAGACCCCACACGCCACGGGGCAAUCAAGCCUGCUCACCGCAACUGGAGAAGCCUACAUGACAGAGUGAAGAAGCAGCCCAGCCAAAUAAAUAAACAAAAUAAUUUAAAACACUGAAAUGAAGUUGGUUGCUGUACAGCAUGUGGGAUCUUAGUUCCCCAACCAGGGAUCGAAUUCAUGCUUCCUUCAGUGAAAUCGCCGAGUCUUAACCACUGGACCACCAGGGAGUCCUUGCAGUAACUCACGAGACAGCAUCGCUUUCCUAAACGCAAGAAGCAGAUUACAUGUUGUGCUGUGGCAAACAGGUGGGGCCACAGCAAACCAUCUGCAGAGGGCCAGGUAGCAGGCGUGUCGGGUUUUGUGGGCACAUGGUCUGUCUCAGCUGCAGCCCCUCAGCUCUGCCCCCGCCGUGCCAAGGCGGCGGCUGCGGGCACCAUGCACGUGAAUGGGUGUGUGCAUGUUCCCAUGAGACUUUACUGAUGGACGCUGGAAGGCCCGUCACUGUCGCAGGUCACAAAACAGGCUUCUUCUUUUGACUCCAGCAUUAAAAACAUAAAAGCCGCUCUCGGCUCGUAGACACCCAGGUGUGGGCCAAAGUGACGCGCCUGUGGGCCGCGGUUUGCCAACCUGGGUCUAGCACAGAGGCUCUCGGAAUCAGGAAGGACCUUGAGAGAGCUCUGAGAUGUUUAAUUGCUUCUCCUCUCGAGAGAGUAAAGAAUCAAAUCCCUCCCGAAGGCGACAGUCCACCGUGCCCUGCUAAGAUGAGACCCCAGAUACUCUGACUCCUAGUGCAGUGCACUUCCUACCAGAAGCCACUGCUUAAAAUAAAGACAAAUAGGAGACCAAUUAAAGAGAUAACUGUAACAACUGCUCAGCACAGCGCCCGGAGAUGAGAACGCCCAGUGCCGGCCGUGCGGCCGCCGCGGCCCCUGCAGACAGCGCCUGGCACGCGUUCAGAGAGCUUGAGAAACAUAACUGGUUGAGCAGAAAUCGUUCCAAGAAAUAGCACCG